UCCUCGGGAGGCAGCAGUCGGGAAUAUUGCACAAUGGAGGAAACUCUGAUGCAGUGACGCCGCGUGCAGGAAGAAGGUUUUCGGAUUGUAAACUGCUUUAGAUGGGGAAGAAAAAAGACUGUACCCAUAGAGUAAGCUCCGGCUAACUACGUGCCAGCAGCCGCGGUAAUACGUAGGGAGCAAGCGUUAUCCGGAUUUAUUGGGUGUAAAGGGUGCGUAGACGGGCUAACAAGUUAGUUGUGAAAUCCCUCGGCUCAACUGAGGAACUGCAACUAAAACUAUUAGUCUCUGAGUGCGGGAGAGGA
rnacentral:rRNA from 1 species